UACAGCAACGGCCUACAGCACGCUUAGGUGGUCCCCACACACACACACUACUACAGCAACGGCCUACAGCACGCUUAGGUGGUCCCCCCACACACACACUACUACAGCAACGGCCUACAGCACGCUUAGGUGGUCCCCACACACACACACUACUACAGCAACGGCCUACAGCACGCUUAGGUGGUCCCCACACACACACACUACUACAGCAACGGCCUACAGCACGCUUAGGUGGUCCCCACACACACACACUACUACAGCAACGGCCUACAGCACGCUUAGGUGGUCCCCACACACACACACUACUACAGCAACGGCCUACAGCACGCUUAGGUGGUCCCCACACACACACACACUACUACAGCAACGGCCUACAGCACGCUUAGGUGGUCCCCACACACACACACUACUACAGCAACGACCUACAGCACGCUUAGGUGGUCCCCACACACACACACACUACUACAGCAACGGCCUACAGCACGCUUAGGUGGUCCCCACACACACACACUACUACAGCAACGACCUACAGCACGCUUAGGUGGUCCCCACACACACACACUACUACAGCAACGACCUACAGCACGCUUAGGUGGUCCCCACACACACACACUACUACAGCAACGGCCUACAGCACGCUUAGGUGGUCCCCACACACACACAAUACUACAGCAACGGCCUACAGCACGCUUAGGUGGUCCCCACACACACACACUACUACAGCAACGACCUACAGCACGCUUAGGUGGUCCCCACACACACACACUACUACAGCAACGACCUACAGCACGCUUAGGUGGUCCCCACACACACACACUACUACAGCAACGACCUACAGCACGCUUAGGUGGUCCCCACACACACACACUACUACAGCAACGGCCUACAGCACGCUUAGGUGGUCCCCACACACACACACUACUACAGCAACGACCUACAGCACGCUUAGGUGGUCCCCACACACACACACUACUACAGCAACGGCCUACAGCACGCUUAGGUGGUCCCCACACACACACACUACUACAGCAACGACCUACAGCACGCUUAGGUGGUCCCCACACACACACACUACUACAGCAACGGCCUACAGCACGCUUAGGUGGUCCCCACACACACACACUACUACAGCAACGACCUACAGCACGCUUAGGUGGUCCCCACACACACACACUACUACAGCA